rnacentral:ncRNA from 1 species
AUUGCGAUGGUCCCUGUGGAUGUUGACACAUUGUGAUUUAUACCCAGUGUUAUGCAUGUGAAAGUGAAGAAAUUCAACCAAGCAUGGCUAAACGACGAGAGUAACUAUGACUCUCUUAAGGUAUUUAGAUGUCUCGUCGUCUAAUUAGUGACAUGCAUGAAUGGAUUAACAACAUUCCCACUGUUAAUAAUCACAUUCUAUAGAAACCACAACCAACAUAUAUUAG